GCGGACGUGGCGGAACUGGCAGACGCGCAUGGCUUAGGACCAUGUCUCGGUAAGAGAUGGGAGUUCAACUCUCCCCGUCCGCA
rnacentral:tRNA from 1 species